AUGACCAUGGACAUGCAGGCACCGUCAGCCAAGAAAAUGGUGAGCUACGAUGAUGCCCGUGAUUAUGUGACAUCCCUGUUCAUCAUGCUGAAGAAGGAACCAGUCAUCUUGUUCCGCAUCGAGUUCCUGGUGGUCCUCGUCACGCUGCUCUUCUUCGCCAUGUUCCUCAUGGAUUUCUUUCGCCGCAUCAUUCACAACCCAUUCAUGAGGGCCGUCUUCAGCAUCUUCGACGGCGUCUCCGACUCCAUUGUCUUGUACCUCCUGGGGGCCAUGCAGUCGGCGCCUUUCAAGAACCAGCUGUUCCCGAUCUGGGCUCUUGUGCUCGUCAAUUUCCGCUACAGCGCAGACUACAUCUCCGGCUACGGUGUUCCUGACCGCCGCGGACGAAGGUUCACCGAGUGGAGGAACGUGUUCAAGCUCCUGGGGUCGGCAUUCUUGACUUGGACGCGUGGAUCCAGCUUCACGGCUCCACUCUGGUCCGUCUGGUGCCUGCAGAUAGUGAGGAGCGCGUACAGAUUCCACUCACACAAUCUGGCAUUCCGCUCCCUCUGGCAUGGCGGGAGCUCACACCUGGUUGCAGAGCACAUGCGUGCCAGGUACAGCAACUCGCAACCAGACAGCAACUCGCAACCAGCAGCCAGCCCAGUGACGAUGGAAGACUACAGCUACUUGGUGUAUGGAGAAACGAGGCGGAAUUUCAAGCUAAAGAAGCCUCAGUAUGCAUUGUCUCCUCACCGGCCAAGAAAGAUCUGGCAAGCUAGAUGUUGUUGUGUAAGAGUCGUCUUCAAUACCAGCAGCCGCACGUCCCAGCAGGAGUCGUCGCCACUGAUCACGCUGGACAAAGUCUGGAAGUACUGUCCCAUUCACCAGCCACAUAACCAGGAGGAGGAAGAGGACCUAAAGAAGGACAAUGACCUAAAGGAUAUCACUUUGGCCUUCGCCUUGUCAAGGCUGCUGCGGUGCAGGUUUGAGGAUGUGCCGCUGCAAGCAAGUAUCUUCGAAAUACACCGUGAGCUGAUCAAGAGCAUAAUUGGUGGGAAGCUGGGCACCAGCGAUGUCCUCAGGAUCAUGGAGCUGCAGCUUGCCUUUGUCCACGACUAUUUCAACACCCGCUACCCCAUGGUGUUCUGGUGUGGGCGCCUGUCUCUCCUCAUCACUCUGUUUCUGUCCGUGCUCACCAUCGGUGCUGUCUGCUGGCUUGCUGUGGAUAUCCGUAGGGUCUAUAAGCCCCCGAAUGGCGAGCUUGCCAAUCUGGUCAAGGGCUUUAAUAUUGACAUGAUCAUUACAUGGGCAUUCAUUUUGCUGAUGAUUGCCAAGGAGGUCUGGGAGAUGGUGACCUACUUACUCUCCGACUGGACAAGCUUAAUCCUGGUGUGCGAGUAUGUGCAGAGGAAGUGCAAGAGGAUCGGAGGAUCUAUAGACACAAGGAUGGAUCGCAUAUUAUUAUGGUUUUCCAGAGCUAAGAUUACUGACAAGAGGUGGCAUGGACAUCUUGACCAGUAUGUCUUCCUGCAGUCGUAUGAGGACAGACCAAGAUUUUGGAAUUUUGUUCACAACCUAACUACCGGAAUAAUUCCAAAGAAAGACGACGGGGCAAAGCUCAGCAGUGCCAUCACAGUUCCCGAGUGUGUCAAGAAGGCAGUUCUGGAGAAGCUCAGCAUAAUGGUGGAGGAAAAAAAAGAUUGUAGUCUGCCCAAGGACCAACAUUGUAGUCUGCCCAAGGAAAAACAAGAUUGUAAUCUUCCCAUGGACCUCAAGACAUUGUCCAACAGCAACCUUAGCGAGCAGUUGCAGAACUACAAGUCUUACACCGCACCACCGAUGAGCACCGACAUCGUCUUGCCGACAAGCUCUCACAUCAUUCUUGCGUGGCACAUCGCGACCAGCCUCUGCGAAAUGGAGCUUGCGAAUAAUCACGGUGUCAACUUGAGCAAACCUGGGUUUCCGCGCUCGCUGUUGUGUUGGUUGACUUCUUGCUGCUCCUCCAAACCUUAUCUUAUGGAUUUGGGUGAGAAGAAAGAUGGUAUCUUGUCAUGGUUCACAAAUAGCUGCUCAUCAAAGUCAAAUGGGAAGUUGCCUGACAAGCUUCGGGAGUCCUACACCAUUGCAAACAGCUUAUCGCGGUACUGUGCAUAUCUGCUGGUUGCAAAGCCUGACCUGACCCCUGAUAGUUUUCUUGUUCCCAAGAUAGUCUUCCAGAAAACCGUCGAGAGUGCUCAUGACGGCAUCCUGAAAAAUUGUGAUUCAUUAGAGAGCAGGCGCAUAAAACUGAAUGAAGCAGACGAACCUAUCGAAAACUCCGAAGAAGAUGUAUUGAAACAGGGUGCAGCACUGGGCAAGGAACUGCUCAAAAUUCCAACUGAUGAAAUUCGCUGGAAGAUCCUGGAAGAGGUAUGGACUGAGUUACUUAUACACAUUGCGCCCACGCGGAAUGCACACGCGCACAGGAAGUGUCUCUCUGGAGGGGAGUUCAUAACCCACAUAUGGGCAUUUCUUUGGCACUAUGGCAUUCAGAAGAGUAGCUUGUGGCCAAAUGAAGUUGCACUAGCAAACCGUGCCCCUGCAGCGCCUGAGAAUGAUGGCGUCCGAAAUGCAAACAAUAUGGAUGAACCAGUGCAAGUUUGUGCAGACGGAAGUGCCGAGCAGACUGGCGCUAAUGUUCGUGAACCGGAUGAGAUCAUGGGAACCCAGGAGCAUGAGACAAGAAACUCUAGGAGAGUGCUAACAAGGAUGGAGAGAACAGAGAGUUCAGAAAUCGAGGAGGGGUCUCAUGAUGCCAUAGCGGAGGACAGAAAUUUUCAGAGAGGAAUGGCUGGUCAAACCCAAAACGGGAGUGAGGCAAACAAGCUAGGUUGA
rnacentral:rRNA from 1 species